UACAGGCAAAAUGAUGAAUCAUUGAUGUGUGAAGGGAAUUAUUCUUUGUGAACUCGACUAUUUAGCAUAUAUUGUCUGACUUGCCAUUA